UCCAAAGGGGGCAGGAAACUGUGAGGGGCGGGAGCAAAGAAGCCCUUAAAAGGGGAGGAAGCGGCGAGGGGCAAAGGUGACUCCAACGGGGAAGGAAGCUGUGAGGGAGCGGUGGGCAAAAAGGGAAGGAAAGCGUGAGCGGCAAAGAAGGCACAGAAAAGAGAACAACUCACAGGAGCCCAGGAACGGGAGGGAAGAGGAGGCCCUUUGCUGAUAUACAGAUGUUGGCUGAACAGGGGAAAGUGGCCUUGGACUCCACUGGAAAGAACAAUUGGUUUAAAGGAUUAUUAAGAACUGAAGAGGAUUUGCUGUCACAUUAGAUACAGGUCAAGAGUCUGCGAGUUUUAAAAGACAACACUAUAGGCUAGGCACUGAUGUGUCUCAGAAGCCACUCCAUCUCUUCCCUGCAUGUUGUGCUGUUCCUCCUCCCUCCUGUUCCUGAGUAAUCCUCCUUUC